AUUGAAGUUACAGAGCUUGUAAUUCUUUGCUAUGUAAACAACGCUUUUGUUUACAUUUUGAAUGUUGAAGUGAAAAUUCCAAUUUUAAACCUUAAAUGAAUUUCUUUAAACGUUAGAAACUGUUCAUUUAUGCUUAACACGAAUAGGAAGAUAGACAAAUGAGCUUGAAAACGAUUUUUUACAGGUAUAUUGAACCUAUGUAAACAAGAACAGGGCACGAGCCUUGUUUACAUGACAAAGAGUUGUGAGCUCUGAGGCUUGCUUAUAACUAACGACUGAUUCUCAAAUUUAAUAUGAUCAUUAUAAAUGCUUUCCUAAAGCAUUGUAAAUAAUG
rnacentral:sRNA from 1 species